UUAAUCAUCACUGUAAUCAGCAGCACGUCUUUAUGUAUGAUCAGCAGUUGCCAUAUAACAAGAAUUUUGCUGCAUUGCAUUUUACUGCUUGCAGAACUCGUGUUAAACUCGAUUUUGCUAGUGAUCUUGUGAUUCUUUCAUAGUUUGUUGUUCAUACUAUAAGUUGUGCUUAAAAUAUAAAUAACUAGAGGAAAAGAUACCACUGACUUAUUUAUCUUUUGCUUCACAUCAUGCCUUGACUUUAUUAUAAAAAAUGUGCAUUUUUGUCGUGCGAAAAUCGUAACGAGAAUCCGGAUGUGAGGUUCCACAUGUUUCCUCAUGGUGCGAUUAUGUUUCAACACUGGAUGGACGUUGUGAAUAAUCCAGCAUUGUCUAAAUUAGCUCAUACUACUGUUAGAAGGUGUUAUUCGGUAUGCAAUAACCAUGUUAUAGUAUCUCAAUUUCAAACUCCCGAAAGGAAGACGCUACUGACAAAAGCUAUUUCCAAAAGUUUUAUAGCUCCUUCUAACAUUUGCAUGCCACCCAGACUUUAGGUACCUACUAUGUUGUAUAUUUUUUCUUAAUUUUAUGACAAAAAGCCAAUUAAAUAAAAACUAUAUAUUUAUUACAUGGUUAGGAAAAAUGAAACUUAGAAUUAGUAGUUAGUAGCCAUAGGCAUGUUUACCUUUUUUUUGCAAAAUUUUACUAACAAAAUUAACUGAAUUUAAUAUGUUGUACCACAGUACUAACAUGCAAAUAAACUGAAAUUUCUUAUCUUUCUUGGUAAAGAUGUAGCCAGAUUUUUCACAGAAUUGUCAAAAUUAUUUCCAGAUAAUAUUUCAUAGAGAGUAUCAUAUAUUCCUCCCAAUUGAAACCUUAGAAGACUAAUUGCAUCAAUUCGGCUAGACCAUUUUUCUUAGUGGUGUUUGCUGCGUUCGUGUGGUAAAAUCGUUUUUCUCUCAUAUUUUGCUCAUUUAAAGUUGACCAAUUUCGAGGCCAUUUAAUCAACUUUUUGUUUUUUCAGUUUCAUUUCUCUAACUAAUAAUUUUAGGUUAGUUUGGCCUAGAAUUUUCUUUCCUUUUCAGUAAAAUAACACAAUUUUCCAAAACUAUGCUAUCUAAUGACAGUGCCCAAGCUAGAAACGUAAUUUUCCAAUGUGGCCAAGGUCAGUUGAAGUUAAAUGUAUUUUAUUGAAAAGGAAAGAAAAUGGGAACCCGAACUAACCCAGAAUGACUAGUUACACACAUAUGGUGCGCGUUGAGGUACCAUGCGUUUCGUCCCGGGCCUACCUAUUGGACUCGUCAGUAAGGCUUAGGUAGACCCUGCCUUAGACGCCGGUUACGGAACAUAGGUUGGAAGUUCUAUUUGAACCGAAACGCCACAGAUGUUAUGCGGUGAGAUAUAUGCUGGCAUUUGAAAUGGUGCUUAGGUGCUGCCACCUGUGAGUCGGUGAAUGAAGCUGCAUAUGAUCCACCACACAUAUAUGAGACUUUCAAAAAUACAAAAUCGAACAAGAAGUGUAUUAAAUGGCCUCAAAAUAGGUAAACUUUAAAUGAGUGAAAAUUUAUAGAACAACGAUUUUCCGCAGCAAACACCACUAAGAAAAAGUGUUAGUAAAGGAUUAUCUACAAGGUAACCAAAGUGAAAAUUCUCCGCCGUAAUAGUGACAGAACUAGCAAAUGACACAAUAAUAAGUAUCUACACCAUCUAGAUUAUUUUAAUGUCUGUAAGAUAUUAAAAAAAAAAUUCUAAUCAAGUAUUAUGUAUGUAAAUAAGUAAAUUUUAGUAAAUUCGCUUACCUAGCUUAUUUUUCGUCUUAUUUUGGAACUAAACGCUAAAUAUAGAACAAGUUACUUUUUCCGCGAGAAGCCGGAUAAUUGAGCGAUCGAUCGAAGAACGUGAGAAAUUCGAACUAGCAGAAAGCAGUCUAAGUAUUAGAUCUGCUAGAGUCGAUUCAGUGUGCGUACGGCUUUCAACAAUAGAGUAUUGUUUCGCCGGGAUGAAUGUGGGCUUUGAAGAACCACACGUCGUACAAGGAGUUGUGAGAAAAUUUUUAAAUGAUAACACCGCCGCGGCGCCUUUUGACUUUUGGCGCCGUCGGGAAGUGCACGCCUUCGCACUAAUGGACGGCGCGGCUCUGAUCGGAGACAUCCUCACACAGGUAUAGAAACUUCUCACGAUGAUUCUACUUCUGUCGAACGGGAACAAGAAUCAAUGCUUUUUCGAUGCCUACGCCUAAUGUAGAUAGUGGAAUCGGUUUACCGCUGCAUGUGAGAAGCAAAUUGCUUGAUUCGAUUGGAGUAACCAGCAGGAACAAAAUGACUCCAACAAAAUGACUCCAAGGAAACAACUUCUAUUUCACAAGCUAUGCAGCAUGAGGAGGACAUUGAAACGUUAUGAGCGUAAUUUGAAGAGUUGCAGGAAAGACGUGUUUGGGGUAAAGAAUGUAAGUAAUCUUUUAAACAAUAAAACUUAUAAUUGUUUAGAAGAUAUAUGAUAGAAGACCGUGGGCGCAGACAUUUUUCCUAUUGCAGCUACGUCAAAAAGGUUUAAUAGAAUUCUUAAACAUUUCAAAAAUUUGUUCCCUUUGCAUGACGAAUAUAUGUAAUAAUACGGCAGUUUCGGAAUGUAUUAUUUAUAAUAUGUGAAAAUAUAUUUUGCUUCUAAUAAAUCGAAAAUUAAGCCUCAGAAAGAUAGCCGCGACAAUGCUAUAGUGGAUCAAUGCAUCCAAAAAUUUGCACCAAAUGGUAUAAGUAAUUUUUGUAUUAUUAUUUUAUAGAAAGGCAGAUUUUGACAUCAAUAAUUUUGUUUAUUUGUUCCUUUUACAUGCUUUUGAAGUUUUUACUUUUACUUGUUUAUCAUUUAUACGUCUGUUUGUUCUGUUUCUGUUAUAUAUGUUGAUUGUUUAUAGGGUGUACUUUGUUCUUUCCUAUUUCUGUUAUUAUAAAUAUGUUUAUCA